UGAACGGCCACAUUGGGACUGAGACACGGCCCAGACUCCUACGGGAGGCAGCAGUGGGGAAUAUUGCACAAUGGGGGAAACCCUGAUGCAGCGACGCCGCGUGGAGGAAGAAGGUCUUCGGAUUGUAAACUCCUGUUGUUGAGGAAGAUAAUGACGGUACUCAACAAGGAAGUGACGGCUAACUACGUGCCAGCAGCCGCGGUAAAACGUAGGUCACAAGCGUUGUCCGGAAUUACUGGGUGUAAAGGGAGCGCAGGCGGGAGAACAAGUUGGAAGUGAAAUCCAUGGGCUCAACCCAUGAACUGCUUUCAAAACUGUUUUUCUUGAGUAGUGCAGAGGUAGGCGGAAUUCCCGGUGUAGCGGUGGAAUGCGUAGAUAUCGGGAGGAACACCAGUGGCGAAGGCGGCCUACUGGGCACCAACUGACGCUGAGGCUCGAAAGUGUGGGUAGCAAACAGGAUUAGAUACCCUGGUAGUCCACACCGUAAACGAUGAUUACUAGGUGUUGGAGGAUUGACCCCUUCAGUGCCGCAGUUAACACAAUAAGUAAUCCACCUGGGGAGUACGACCGCAAGGUUGAAACUCAAAGGAAUUGACGGGGGCCCGCACAAGCAGUGGAGUAUGUGGUUUAAUUCGACGCAACGCGAAGAACCUUACCAAGUCUUGACAUCCCUUGACGAACAUAGAAAUAUGUUUUCUCUUCGGAGCAAGGAGACAGGUGGUGCAUGGUUGUCGUCAGCUCGUGUCGUGAGAUGUUGGGUUAAGUCCCGCAACGAGCGCAACCCUUAU
rnacentral:rRNA from 1 species